CAGUCGCCGCGGGAAUGCGUAGGUGGCAAGCGUUGUCCGGAAUUAUUGGGCGUAAAGCGCGCGCAGGCGGAUAGGUCAGUCUGUCUUAAAAGUUCGGGGCUUAACCCCGUGAUGGGAUGGAAACUGCCAAUCUAGAGUAUUGGAGAGGAAAGUGGAAUUCCUAGUGUAGCGGUGAAAUGCGUAGAUAUUAGGAAGAACACCAGUGGCGAAGGCGACUUUCUGGACGAAAACUGACGCUGAGGCGCGAAAGCCAGGGGAGCGAACGGGAUUAGAGACCCCUGUAGUCCCUGUCUCUUAUACA
rnacentral:rRNA from 1 species